UAACAAAUUUAGGAUCAACCUCGCCAUACUUGAAGCCGCACCAUCACUAAAACCACCACUCCCCAUCAUCCAAAUUCUUCCAUCACAGUUCCACCUAAAUUCCCCUCAAUUCUCAAUUUAAUUCGCAAUUGAAAAACUAGAAAUUUGUCUUCUGCAAUUAAUUGCAGUUCUUCACCACUCGCAAGUUGCAAGUCCAGCAAAUCCAUCACCGUCGACCACAUAUACUCGCAAGUGCAAUAUACGUUCCUCUUCCUUAUUCAUCGGCGGCUGCCACCCCACUACAGAGCACUUCUCGCACCUCAUUCUCUUGGGUUCACUCGCUCUACUCACUCUUUCUCUCUCUUGGAGUUUUGCCGGCAAAACUCGUAGACCUGUUUCUCUCUAUUCGAUUUCUUCAGCAUCAGGCGGUGCGACUACAGCUUCUGGUGCAGUACAAGACCCAACAACUCCGCUCUCAUCUGAUGGCAGAGCAGAAGCAGCAGCCCCCACAGGCUGAUCUUGAAGACUCGUCGCUUUGCUGACAGCCGUUGAUGGGGAGAGAGGGGAUGGUGAUGCAGCCCCGGUACUUGCUAAUGUGCUCUUUUGAUCAGCGUUUUCAACUGCCAUGUUGUUUCUCUUAUCGACAUUCAGAGUUGUGGUUGACUCAGAAAUAUCUCCUUGCUUUACCUUACAUUUUGGCUUGGCAUGGAUUCCUGUGUACAGCCCCGGUAUUUUUGCACAACUCUGUGUGGUUAAGUACAUUACAUUGCAUGCAUACUGUGUUAAAUAGCACCCUACUUAGGAGUAAAUUUUAGUGGAAGAGCAACUUGAUUGAUAAUUAUGAGAUUCAUAUUGAUUGUAUUUUAUUAAAACUUAAUGAUUACAUCACUACAAUUAUUUUACC